UCGAGCUUCGUGUGUAGGCUAGCAUGUUCUGACGUGAUGUAGCUUAUAGACAGUGACAUUUAAGAUGGCAGUGAGGUUCAGAAAGUGUGAAGUUGCUUACUGCAAGGGGGUACAGACACAGAAAAGCGCAAGAUGGAGGUUGGUGCGAUUCAAAAAACGGCAAAUGUCUGGCCCUUAAACCAACUCCUGGAAUUUGACUUCUUGUGGAGGUACAUCUCUAUGCUUUCCUAACUUUCGACACUGGAUGCAGUUGAGAAAAUUUAAUAAGACUGUGUUGGAGGCGAAGCUGUGAUUGGUUAAAAAAAUGGAGCGAGAUGCUAACCAGUAGGGAGUGAUCACGUGAUGAAGAAGAACGUUCUAGAGACAGGUCAUUUCUCUGGAAGGGUGAGGAACACGUGACAGCGUCACCAUAUACAGGACAA